rnacentral:tRNA from 1 species
UGUGGCUUAGUUGGUUGAAGCACCAGUCUUACGCACAUGUAGUCGUGGGAUCAAAUCCUACCA